GGGUAAGUAGCUCAGGUGGUUAGAGCGCAUCCCUGAUAAGGAUGAGGUCGGAGGUUCGAGUCCUCCCUUACCCACCA
rnacentral:tRNA from 1 species